UGCUGUGAGUCAUCAGGCGGGUUCUCUCUC
rnacentral:piRNA from 1 species